GAUGAACGCUGGCGGCGUGCCUAAUACAUGCAAGUAGAACGCUGAAGGAGGAGCUUGCUCUUCUGGAUGAGUUGCGAACGGGUGAGUAACGCGUAGGUAACCUGCCUGGUAGCGGGGGAUAACUAUUGGAAACGAUAGCUAAUACCGCAUGACAACAGUUAUUGCAUGAUAACUGUUUAAAAGGGGCAACUGCUCCACUACCAGAUGGACCUGCGUUGUAUUAGCUAGUUGGUGAGGUAACGGCUCACCAAGGCGACGAUACAUAGCCGACCUGAGAGGGUGAUAGGCCACACUGGGACUGAGACACGGCCCAGACUCCUACGGGAGGCAGCAGUAGGGAAUCUUCGGCAAUGGACGGAAGUCUGACCGAGCAACGCCGCGUGAGUGAAGAAGGUUUUCGGAUCGUAAAGCUCUGUUGUAAGAGAAGAACGAGUGUGAGAGUGGAAAGUUCACACUGUGACGGUAUCUUACCAGAAAGGGACGGCUAACUACGUG
rnacentral:rRNA from 1 species